UACGUAGGGUGCGAGCGUUGUCCGGAAUUAUUGGGCGUAAAGGGCUCGUAGGCGGUCUGUUACGUCUGGUGUGAAAACUCGGGGCUCAACCCCGAGCCUGCUUCCGAUACGGGCAGACUAGAGGUAUGCAGGGGAGAAUGGAAUUCCUGGUGUAGCGGUGAAAUGCGCAGAUAUCAGGAGGAACACCGGUGGCGAAGGCGGUUCUCUGGGCAUUACCUGACGCUGAGGAGCGAAAGUGUGGGGAGCGAACAGG
rnacentral:rRNA from 1 species